rnacentral:rRNA from 1 species
CCUACGGGGGGCAGCAGUGGGGAAUAUUGGACAAUGGGCGAAAGCCUGAUCCAGCCAUGCCGCGUGUGUGAAGAAGGCCUUCGGGUUGUAAAGCACUUUCAGUGGGGAAGAAAGCCUUGGGGCUAAUACCCUCGAGGAAGGACAUCACCCACAGAAGAAGCACCGGCUAACUCCGUGCCAGCAGCCGCGGUAAUACGGAGGGUGCGAGCGUUAAUCGGAAUUACUGGGCGUAAAGCGCGCGUAGGCGGUCUGAUAAGCCGGUUGUGAAAGCCCCGGGCUCAACCUGGGAACGGCAUCCGGAACUGUCAGGCUAGAGUGCAGGAGAGGAAUGUAGAAUUCCCGGUGUAGCGGUGAAAUGCGUAGAGAUCGGGAGGAAUACCAGUGGCGAAGGCGGCCUUCUGGACUGACACUGACGCUGAGGUGCGAAAGCGUGGGUAGCAAACAGGAUUAGAUACCCUGGUAGUC